CUGCUGCCUUCCGUAGGAGUCUGGGCCGUGUCUCAGUCCCAAUGUGGCCGUCACACCUC
rnacentral:rRNA from 1 species